rnacentral:rRNA from 1 species
AUGUGAAUGCAAGCAAAUCUCAAAAAUAAACGUCUCAGUUCGGAUUGUAGUCUGCAACUCGACUACAUGAAGCUGGAAUCGCUAGUAAUCGCGAAUCAGAAUGUCGCGGUGAAUACGUUCCCGGGUCUUGUACACACCGCCCGUCACACCAUGGGAGUCUGUAACACCCAAAGCCGGUGGGAUAACCUUUAUAGGAGUCAGCCGUCUAAGGUAGGACAGAUGAUUAGGGUGAAGUCGUAACAAGGUACC